rnacentral:rRNA from 1 species
GCAAAACACGGGCCGUCGCGCGCGGUGUUAGUUAGGGUGCGAUCGUUAAUGUGAAGUACUGGGCAUAAAGGGUGCGCAGGCGGCUCCGCAUGGCGGGCGUGAAAUCCCCGGGCUUAACCUGGGAAUUGCGUCCUAAACUAUGGAGCUGGAGUGUGGCAGAGGUAGGUGGAAUUCCACGUGUAGCGGUGAAAUGCGUAGAGAUGUGGAGGAACACCGAUGGCGAAGGCAGCCUCCUGGGCCAACACUGACGCUCAUGCACGAAAGCGUGGGGAGCAAACAGGAUUAGAUACCCUUGUAGUC